rnacentral:rRNA from 1 species
GGCUCAGUAACACGUCGGUAACCUACCCUCGGGAGGGGGAUAACCCCGGGAAACUGGGGCUAAUCCCCCAUAGGCCUGAGGUACUGGAAGGUCCUCAGGCCGAAAGGGCGUAAGCCGCCCGAGGAUGGGCCGGCGGCCGAUUAGGUAGUUGGUGGGGUAACGGCCCACCAAGCCGAAGAUCGGUACGGGCCAUGAGAGUGGGAGCCCGGAGAUGGACACUGAGACACGGGUCCAGGCCCUACGGGGCGCAGCAGGCGCGAAACCUCCGCAAUGCGGGAAACCGCGACGGGGGGACCCCCAGUGCCGUGGCAUCGCCACGGCUUUUCCGGAGUGUAAAGAGCUCCGGGAAUAAGGGCUGGGCAAGGCCGGUGGCAGCCGCCGCGGUAAUACCGGCGGCCCGAGUGGUGGCCGCUAUUAUUGGGCCUAAAGCGUCCGUAGCCGGGCCCGUAAGUCCCUGGCGAAAUCCCACGGCUCAACCGUGGGGCUUGCUGGGGAUACUGCGGGCCUUGGGACCGGGAGAGGCCGGGGGUACUCCUGGGGUAGGGGUGAAAU